rnacentral:rRNA from 1 species
CGACCGGCGCACGGGUGAGUAACGCGUAUGUAAUCUACCUGUAACAGAGGGAUAACCCGGAGAAAUCCGGACUAAUACCUCAUAGCACAUAUUAUUCGCAUGAAUUUUAUGUUAAAGAGACUCGGUUACAGAUGAACAUGCGUUCCAUUAGCUAGUUGGCGGGGUUACGGCCCACCAAGGCAACGAUGGAUAGGGGUUCUGAGAGGAAGGUCCCCCACACUGGUACCGAGACACGGACCAG